ACCGGGCUAGCUCAACUGGCAGAGCAGCGGCCUCCAAAGCCGAAGGUUCGCGGUUCGACCCCGUGGUCCGGUGCCA
rnacentral:tRNA from 1 species